AACGAACGCUGGCGGCAUGCCUAACACAUGCAAGUCGAACGAUACCUCCCGGUCUUGUUUCGCACGUGUGCGUGAGGCGUGGGAAGCUGCCCUUAGGUUCGGUAUCCCUCCCCGUAAGGGGUGCUAAUACCGGAUAAUGUCUUCUGACCAAGGAUAUUUCGCCUUUGGAUGGUGCCGGGUUGGAUUAGGUAGUUGGUAUGGUGAAAGCCUACCAAGCCGAGGAUCCGUAUCUUGUCUGAGAGGAGGAACAGCCACACUGGGACUGAGACACGGCCCAGACUCCUACGGGAGGCAGGGGUGAGGGAUAAUGGAGCAUGGGCGAGAGGCUGAUACAGCACUGCGGGGUGAGUGAUGAAGGCGUUAGGGUUGUAAAGCUCUUUUGACCGGGAUUAUAAUGACGGUACCGGGAGAAGAAGCUCCGGCUAACUACGUG
rnacentral:rRNA from 1 species